ACACAUGCAGUCGAACGCACUCUUCGGAGUGAGUGGCAGACGGGUGAGUAACGCGUGGGAACCUACCUAAUGGUACGGAAUAACUCGGGGAACCCGUGCUAAUACCGUAUAAGCCCGAGAGGGGAAAGAUUUAUCGCCAUUAGAUGGGCCCGCGUUGGAUUAGCUAGUUGGUGAGGUAAUGGCUCACCAAGGCGACGAUCCAUAGCUGGUCUGAGAGGAUGAUCAGCCACACUGGGACUGAGACACGGCCCAGACUCCUACGGGAGGCAGCAGUGGGGAAUAUUGGACAAUGGGCGAAAGCCUGAUCCAGCCAUGCCGCGUGAGUGACGAAGGCCUUAGGGUUGUAAAGCUCUUUUGGCGGGGACGAUAAUGACGGUACCCGCAGAAUAAGCCCCGGCUAACUUCGUGCCAGCAGCCGCGGUAAUACGAAGGGGGCUAGCGUUGUUCGGAAUCACUGGGCGUAAAGCGCACGUAGGCGGAUUUGUAAGUUAGGGGUGAAAUCCCGGGGCUCAACCUCGGAACUGCCCUUGAUACUGCAAGUCUAGAGUCCGAGAGAGGUGAGUGGAAUUCCUAGUGUAGAGGUGAAAUUCGUAGAUAUUAGGAAGAACACCAGUGGCGAAGGCGGCUCACUGGCUCGGUACUGACGCUGAGGUGCGAAAGCGUGGGGGAGCAAACAGGAUUAGAUACCCUGGUAGUCCACGCCGUAACGAUGGAUGCUAGCCGUCAGCAAGCAUGCUUGUUGGUGGCGCA
rnacentral:rRNA from 1 species